GCCUGUGUGGCCGAGCGGUUCUAGGCGCUAGAUUCUGGCUCUACAGUCGCAGGUUCGAAUCCUGCCUCGGGCA